rnacentral:rRNA from 1 species
UACGUAGGGUGCAAGCGGUAAUCGGAAUUACUGGGCGUAAAGCGUGCGCAGGCGGUCGCGUAAGCCAGAUGUGAAAUCCCCGGGCUUAACCUGGGAACUGCAUUUGGUACUGCGUGGCUGGAGUGCGGCAGAGGAAGGUGGAAUUCCUGGUGUAGCAGUGAAAUGCGUAGAGAUCAGGAGGAACACCGAUGGCGAAGGCAGCCUUCUGGGCCAGCACUGACGCUCAUGCACGAAAGCGUGGGGAGCAAACAGG